UGUAAGCGUAUACCAAAGUUGUUGCAGUUAAAACGCUCGUAGUCGGAAUUUGGCAGUUCCGGAUGUGUGCACGUCGUGUGCGCACUUCGCGGGGAUUGCUGUUGUGGUCUUGCGUAGGAUGAGGCACUUUUAUUAGUGAACGUCCUCACGCAACCACUUUUUACUGUGAGAAAAUCAGAGUGCUCAAAGCAGGCAUUUGCCGUGAAUGUAUUAGCAUGGAAUAAUAGAAUAGGACUUGGUUCUAUUUUGUUGGUUUGUUGGGACUGAGUAAUGAUUAAGAGGGACAGUUGGGGGCAUUUGUAUUUCGGUGCUAGAGGUGAAAUUCUUAGAUUACCGAAAGACAAACUGCUGCGAAAGCGUCUGCCAAGGAUGUUUUCAUUGA
rnacentral:rRNA from 1 species